AUGAACGCUGGCGGCGUGCCUAAUACAUGCAAGUCGAGCGAACGGACGAGAAGCUUGCUUCUCUGAUGUUAGCGGCGGACGGGUGAGUAGCACGUGGAUAACCUACCUAUAAGACUGGGAUAACUUCGGGAAACCGGAGCUAAUACCGGAUGAUAUUUUGAACCGCAUGGUUCAAAAGUGAAAGACGGUCUUGCUGUCACUUAUAGAUGGAUCCGCGCUGCAUUAGCUAGUUGGUAAGGUAACGGCUUACCAAGGCAACGAUGCAUAGCCGACCUGAGAGGGUGAUCGGCCACACUGGAACUGAGACACGGUCCAGACUCCUACGGGAGGCAGCAGUAGGGAAUCUUCCGCAAUGGGCGAAAGCCUGACGGAGCAACGCCGCGUGAGUGAUGAAGGCCUUCGGAUCGUAAAACUCUGUUAUUAGGGAAGAACAUAUGUGUAAGUAACUGUGCACAUCUUGACGGUACCUAAUCAGAAAGCCACGGCUAACUACGUG
rnacentral:rRNA from 1 species